UUCUUGAGCUAUGUCAAUGUUCAUGUACUCCACAUUUAUAAUUUUCCUGUGUUGACGUGCCCUGUAACAUAGUUGUGUCGUCUAUGCAGGCAUAGUCGUGAAUUUUACAGGGGAGUGAAGCAUACCAGCUGCAUGUUUCCUAGGGAUUCUAUAUGGUGCUGCUGGUAGAUGAGUCAUUCCUGGAUGUUACCAAGCCUUGUGGAAAACCUCAGCAUGCUAUGGCACCAGAGCUUCCAUUGAUUUUACUAUUUUGCCUGCUUAAAGUCUGUGUUAUGUGUUCAUCAGGAUACAUCUUGCACCGAUGAGAUCAGAAGGUCCAGGUCAUUGUUUUGUUAUUCCAAUGCGAUAACUGAGCUAAACUUCUUGUUGUACUCAUUGGUAUCAGAGCCGUGUUACGGAAACUGAGUCAGCAUCACAUUAUUUCUAGGAUGGUUGAAGAUAGAGACUGAUAUAGAUGAUGACUAGAUCUUAAACUGAGGUAAAUGAACAAACUUCUCCAAUCCGUUUUUUAAACUUACUUUAUCAAGAAAAAAUUGCUUUACCUCUGUGAUUGCGAUUAUAUGUUUGUAAUACAUGGGAUUGUGGAAUUUCAGCUGCACACACUCUUCUCUAUAUAUAUACAUACGUAUGAUAUUGUAAGAUGAUAACAGCUUCCAAGGAUUAUUCCUAGCUAGGUAGAACAAUAAAUUCUCACAAGCCUCCAAUAGGUCACUCUUCUAAAAAAAAUUACAUUAGUUAAGCAAGCAGGCUGUUUGUUUAUCCUAGAAUGAUACCCUUUGUCUUUAAUUAAUCAAUUUUAUAGACAGGUUGCUCAUUAUAAUCUUCUCUUUCAUACAACUAAUUCUUCCCGAAGAAGUUCUAAUAAAUAAUCAAAAGUGAAGCACGAUGAUAUUGUUGUACUAUGAGUAUUUUGUGAAACCACAUGUAAUCUACCAACUAAAAUUUCUUCCAAUUUGAUGCAUCCAUACGAACAAACAGUAGCUUGACUAACUUCUUUUUUCUGCAAGCAAUGAAGUAAAACAAAACAUAGUCCCCACAUUUCAUUGGGCCGACUGCCGAGACUAGAGCACCUGAUAAUCUAAAGCAGCUCAGGAAGACCGUUUAUGCACGCAAGUAUGUUUGAAAGAGGGGAAGUUCGUGUUGGGUUUCCUGAAUUGGUUGCUAUACGUCUCCUUCCCACAAACACGACGAUUCCUUGGAUGAUAUUAAUUUGGUUCAAAUAUUAUUCAGACCUCACCACAUGCUAUGUCUACCUAUGGAUCGUUCUGGUGGCAAGACAAUGUGCAGUUUGAGGAAUCACUCAUUGUUCAGUCAAGGCUGGUGACACAAUAUCAGUAUGGAAAGAUCUCUGGACUAGAAAUGAUAUCCUGCAGUAUCAGUUACCUCAUUUAUUCUCCUAUUCGGAUCUAGAAGAUGUUUUGUGUUGCAGAGUACUUGGAGAAUAAUGACCCAGCCAUGCGCUUUGCUUUGCCAUUGUCUCUGGAAGCUCAUGAGGAGCUGCAUAUCUUGGACGAGCAUGCCAAUAGUAUUCAGAGGGAGGUGUUGCAGCCAGAUGAAUGGCGUUAUGCGUGGGGAGCUAAGGAUUUCAGAGCACAGAAUUACUGGAGUACAAGUUUGUAUUCACACCUAUCUGUCAUGUCCCUUUACUUCCUAAGAUAUGGAAUACAAAAUGUAUGAUGCAGCACAAAGUUUAUGCCUGGCUUCUGACUAUGGAUAGACUCAAUACCCGAUACAUGUUGGUUUGGAGAAAUUUCCCCAUUCCCAAUGUUAAUUUUGUCAUCUCUCAGUUGCACAGGGAGACAAGUGACCAUCUGUUUUUGACUUGCCAUUUCAGAGCAUCCUGUUGGUCAGCUAAUUUCAGGGAAUUGUUUGGGACAUUUGAGCCUUGACCUGAGUAGUAGAAUCUCGACAGCUGCACUAUUAUGGAAUAAUCAACUGUUUACUGAGUGUGCUAUCCUUUGUGCUUCAAACAUUUGGAAACAAAGGAACAUGAGGCAUUUUGAUAGUGUGGAGCCGAAGAUUCAGAGUUGGCUUGCUAUGUUUUCAGUAGAUUUUGAUAAGCUAGGAGGAGCCAGGGUUAAACCUGAGUUUGGAGAUCAAAUAAAAACUUUUGUAAGUAAGUUAAGAGUUUUGAGAUAAACGUGUAAAUAUGUUGUAACACACAUUUAUUUUUUAAUCAGUAUGAGCCUCUCAUGCUGCUAUAUUUGCUGAAAUAAUACACACCGUGUUUGAGCUCGCCUAA